CGUCACAUCACUAUGGCGCAGCGCUGCGCGACAAAUCCCCGACCGUAAACUCAAAGUCUCUUUCAGACUUUUAAGGGUAUUCUAUAGUCUUUGGUAAACUGCUGACUCAUUCUAUUUAUGACUUACUGACACAAAGUUCAAAUGAUCACUCGCUUCGAUUGUUAUCACUCGAUUGAAUGGGCUUUAUCAGAGGUUAUCAGUUCAUCGAUAUGGGCCAGAAGAGGGCUGCUGCGCCUACUGUUAUGUCAGAUCACAUCUCCAGCAGCUCUUUUAAGAAGCCAUCUCUUGUAAAGGUUCUCCCCCCUCUCUCUCUCAGCUUUUCCUUUCCUAUUUUUCCACACUGUAAUCAGUAAUUCAUUUACACAUAUUUUGCUCUCUCUCUUUCUGUGGUUCAUCAUGGCAUAUUUUUUAAAAGAUAGCAUCAAAUUUUGACCAAUUCUUUCAGAAAGCUGCUGUAAUUAACAGGGAACUUGAACUCGAAGCUCUCAAUGCUGAUCUUGAAGAAGCUGCCAAGGAGGCUGAACAAGCCCUUCAAAGGUUCAGCCCUUCACAGCUGAGAGGGAAGACCAAAGGAAGGCCUGUCAUGGGAUUUGAAUGUGGCUGUAUUGUGCGUUUACGGGGAAGACCAAAAGCUGCAAAGGCAAACAUUUCCAAUGCUGAAGACCAAAAACGCAAAGAAAAUCAGUCACAGCAAGCCGGUCAAACCAGUCCUGAUGAAUAAAGCAUGAACAUGGCCUUCUUGUGCCCAAACAGAAAAGACAGAGCUGGAAAGUUGCACAUUUCCAUUGGUAUGUCUGUAUUCAAUGUAGCUCCUAGAAUGAGCAAAUCAACUGUGCCAUCAACUUUGGAAUUUGGGCAGGAAAUGACUAAAUACGGAGGAUGAAGCCAGUUGAUGAAUAUAUCACUUCAAUGGCCACCAAGUGCAGCAGUGCUGCCAGAACCCAUCAGGUAUCUGCUGUGAAGACUGCAUUCACAAACAGCUCUACUGUGACAGCUCAGAUGUUACGGCCCAUAAAAGUAAACUUCACAACUGAACAACUGCAAGAUAGUGGUGGAGGGAUUCUUUUGGCCCAUACCUCCAACAAACUCCAACAAGAAUUAAUGGACAUCUACACCAGGUGGUGUGUGAGGAAAGCAUGGAGGACCAUCAGAGACUCCAGCCACCCGAGCCAUGCUCUCACCGUUACCACCAGGCAGAUGUGAUCGCAGAACCUUCACCAGCAGACUGCAAGACAAGUUCUUUCCACAGGCAAUCAGACUGAACUAAACUUGUACCAUUAACACCACACACAACACACCAACCUCUUAUGUACUGCACUCUAUCACUUACACUGACUGGACUCUGACUCACUAUUAUUCUGCACCCUGACAUUGUUUGCACUAAUUCAUACCGUACUGCACUGCAAAGGUAUAUGUGUACUGUGAUUAUCGUGUUUAAUCACAAUAAUCAGUUGUGUUAUUGUUUUAAUUUCAUGCUCUCUGUAUAGUAUAAUAUUUACCAUAUGUUGUUCUCUACCUGUAUUGAGUCCCUUACACAUAUGCGUUGCAUAUAUAUUCAAUACUUGUCAUCCAUAAUGUCAUGCAGCAGUUUGCACAAAAGACUUUCACCAUCUGUACACUUGCGUUCAUGGUAUUGUGACAAUAAAGUGAUUUGAUCUGAAUUGGUCACAUGUCUUUUGUUCAUCAGUUGUACUGUAGGGUGCUGGAUAACAACUGAAAAUUGUUUGUGACAUUAUGAUAGGGACAUGGUAAUUUUUGACACAGAGAUACUAAUUAGGUCUUUUAUAGUGAUUAUUUGCACUGCAAAUAAUUGCAUGGUUUUUGCACCAUAAACCACACACUGUCUGUACCUUGUCUUACUGAAUGACACAUUGGCAUUGUGUGAUUGUACAAUAAGGUGUCACAGUAUGUAUUGGCUUUUUAAAUUGGUGUCUUUGUUUACUGUCAACACUGUAUUCUUAUUCCUGAUACAAUGAAAUAAAUG